CUGCUAGUCUUGAGUAUAGUUGAGGUAGCUGGAAUGAGUAGUGUAGCGGUGAAAUGCAUAGAUAUUACUCAGAACACCGAUUGCGAAGGCAGGUUACCAAGUUAUAACUGACGCUGAGGGACGAAAGCGUGGGGAGCGAACAGGAUUAGAUACCCUGGUAGUCCACGCCGUAAACGAUGCUAACUCGUUUUUGGGCUUUAGGGUUCAGAGACUAAGCGAAAGUGAUAAGUUAGCCACCUGGGGAGUACGACCGCAAGGUUGAAACUCAAAGGAAUUGACGGGGGCCCGCACAAGCGGUGGAUCAUGUGGUUUAAUUCGAUGAUACGCGAGGAACCUUACCAAGGCUUAAAUGGGAAUUGACAGCUGUAGAAAUACGGUUUUCUUCGGACAAUUUUCAAGGUGCUGCAUGGUUGUCGUCAGCUCGUGCCGUGAGGUGUUAGGUUAAGUCCUGCAACGAGCGCAACCCCUGUCACUAGUUGCCAUCAUUAAGUUGGGGACUCUAGUGAGACUGCCUACGCAAGUAGCGAGGAAGGUGGGGAUGACGUCAAAUCAUCACGGCCCUUACGCCUUGGGCCACACACGUGAUACAAUGGCCG
rnacentral:rRNA from 1 species